UACGUAGGGUGCAAGCGUUAUCCGGAAUUAUUGGGCGUAAAGGGCGCGUAGGCGGCUUCGUAAGUCAAAGGUGAAAUCCCUCGGCUCAACUGAGGAACUGCCUUUGAAACUGUGAGGCUUGAGGCCGGGAGGGGGUAGCGGAAUUCCCAGUGUAGCGGUGAAAUGCGUAGAUACUGGGAGGAACACCAGUGGCGAAGGCGGCUACCUGGACCGGUUCUGACGCUGAGGCGCGAAAGCGCGGGUAGCAAACAGG
rnacentral:rRNA from 1 species